UAUGUGAUCGUCUCUCGCAUAUCAAUAAGCGGAGGAAAAGAAACUAACAAGGAUUCCCCUAGUAACGGCGAGUGAAGCGGGAAGAGCUCAAAUUUGAAAUCUUAAAGGGUUUCCCUUUACGAAUUGUAGUUUAAAGAAGUGUUUUCCGUUGAGGUUUUGGUAAAAGUUCUUUGGAAUAGGACAUCAUAGAGGGUGAGAAUCCCGUAUUUGACCUUUACUUUCAACUUUGUGAUACACUUUCAAAGAGUCGGAUUGUUUGGGAAUGCAGUCCAAAAUGGGUGGUAAAUUUCAUCUAAAGCUAAAUAUUGGCGAGGAGACCGAUAGCGAACAAGUCCCGUGAGGGAAAGAUGAAAAGAACUUUGAAAAGAGAGUUAAACAGUACGUGAAAUUGUCAAAAGGGAAGCGUUUGACACCAGUGUUGUUUUUCUGAAAAUCAAUUAAAGAACUGUUUAUGCUAAGCUGUUUAGACUUUAUCAGCUAUCUGUUUAGUUUUGAGCUUUUCUUUAAUGCACUUUUCAGUUAACAAGUCAACAUCAAUUUCUUUUGCUGUAAAAAAGCUUGAGGAAGGUGGCUUGAGAUUCGUCUUAAGUGUUUAUAGCCUCUUGCCUAUGCAGUCGGAGAGAUUGAGGUCUGCAGCGUAGAUCCUUCGGGGCUAAAUGCAUUUGUGCUAAGUUAUAGCAUUUUAUAGACAACUUGUUGACUAUGAUUUGUCUUGUAGCUUACUCGCUUAUGUUAUUUUACCUACGCUUAGGAUGUUGAGCGCAUGUCUCUCUCU
rnacentral:rRNA from 1 species